rnacentral:rRNA from 1 species
CACGUGCUACAAUGGUCGGUACAAAGGGUUGCUACCUCGCGAGAGGAUGCUAAUCUCAAAAAGCCGAUCGUAGUCCGGAUCGCAGUCUGCAACUCGACUGCGUGAAGUCGGAAUCGCUAGUAAUCGCGGAUCAGAAUGCCGCGGUGAAUACGUUCCCGGGCCUUGUACACACCGCCCGUCACACCAUGGGAGUUUGUUGCACCAGAAGUAGGUAGUCUAACCGCAAGGAGGACGCUUACCACGGUGUGGCCGAUGACUGGGGUGAAGUCGUAACAAGGUAGCCGUAGGGGAACCUGCGGUUGGAUCACCUCC